UCAGGACCUUUGUUCUGUAUCUGGAUUACUCUCUUGUCUUGCCCUCCUGGAUAUCGUACGCUGUCGACUGAUCUCCGCCUGUUUAUUGGACCGCCUUUGUCUUGUCUUCAAUACUCCUGUUCACCAUUGUUUGACUUCUGUCCAUUUAUGACCAUUUCUUUUAUUAAAGCUUGCAAGUGGAUCUGCAUGUUUCCCGUCUGUGUCAUCUGGUUCAUCAUUUAUGAGUUUAGACUGUCAUAUUUAUUUUUUAUGUAUGUGUGAAUGAUGGUUAUCACAUUACAGCAACAGGAUAUGGGUUUUUCUGCACCUUAGGUACAGUGCUAGCUUUUCUCAGACUUUACUUCCCAUUUCUUGUCAAGGUGUAAACCAUUUGUCUAUAGUGAAGAAGUAGAAAAACACAGUCAACACAAGACAACUUGAAACAAAGGGGGAUCUGUGCACAUACAAAGAUCUUGCAGAAUUCGACUACAACAUCAUCAAACUUCCCUCAGAAGAUGGCUAGUCUUUUAAUAAAGUAAUGUCUUGCAUUUCUGAAACGGAGUGAUGUUUUCAUCCAAUUUCCAUUGAGUGCUUUACUAUAUGGAUUAGAGGCAUUGGUUGAAAUCCACUUUUCAUGCCCGUGCAAUGUUAAGAUGAAUGAUCCUUUAGCACUGACAAUGUUCUUGGGACCUUUUUUGUUUAUAUUUGCCAUAAUGUUCAUGUUUUAUCGGCCUUUUAAACAUGGUUAUUGUCAUUGUGCUAAGAAAGCAAAUGGUGAAACCGAAGAUGAAACUCGGCAGAGCUGGCCUAAAUCUUUUGGAUAUUGUCUGAUCUGUAAUGUGGGUCAUCAUCUUGUUUCUUGAUGGAGAUUAUUAUGCUUGUGGUCGUACAGACUGGAAUGGACAUUAUGUUUUUGAUGAGAAGCUCAACAGGUCUUGGUGUAAACCUACCGAGGGGAUGCGAACUGAGACAGAGCUACGCAGUUUGACUAGCUAUAAUCUUCAUUAUUCUCGGUAUAUAGGUUACAUCUUGAUGAGUGUCCUUGGUAGUGUGCUGUUAAUCACAGUGGGUGUUUAUGACUGCUGCAUAACUGGAAAAUGGGACUGGUGCCCAAGUUCAAUAUUAAGAAAGUGUGGAGGAACACAUCCAGAGCAGGGGAGUCAGACACAGAGAAGUACUGAAACAGAGAAUCCAAGCCCUGUGGUUAGACCAACGGAACAGAACUUGAUCCCUUGAAGAGGGCUUAAGCUCUGACCAAUCCCACGAGCCCAGACCCCCUAGCGACGUCCAUGAUCCUGAGACAGAGAAUAGACGAGGUGAAGGACCGACUGAAUCAGCAGAGGCUGAGCCUUUAAUCAAAAAAAUUUUUUUUCCAUAAAAUUCCUGCCCAUGUCUUUCUAUCUUCGGCACAUAUAUUAUAUUUAGAAAUUUAAGGGACAAAUUAAAGUCUUAUGGUAAAAUCUCGAUAUAAUUGCCUUAAUAACAUUAUGUUACAAUUAUAUUUAUUGGUAAUAUAUAUUUCUCCUAUAU